rnacentral:lncRNA from 1 species
GGAAUGGCGCAACACAGUAGUGAAGGGAGGAGUAGGAGCUAUGGCCAGGUUAGUCCCCUAUUUUGUGCCUCUACUUUCCCCUUUCAUUAGAGGGAAGGGCAUUUUCUGAAAUUAGGGAUCUGGGUUGAAGGUAGUUGACAGAUAUGGGUACCCCAUGGGUCCCCACCGAUCAGGAUACUGGCCGGUCCUGACAAGUGGGCCUGCCCGACCAGAUCAUACAGGCUAAGGAAAUGAACAUACUUGGAGCACAUGUCAUGGAGGUCGGGCAAUUCAAAUUAGCCCGAAUAUUGUGGGAUACUUGUUGUAAUCCAACUCAGAUUGCUAUCCAUGUAACAACAAGCUAGAUUAGAUUCAAACUGACUUGUAACCCUAGGUCAUCAGCCUAUAUAAGGUGGCCAAGGGUGCCUCCCAAGGGCAUCACAAUUCUCAAGCAAUACAAACCACCAAAAUGCAGGACGUAGGGUAUUACUCUCCGGAGGUCCGAACCUGUCUAAACCCUUGUGUUCUCAUGAUUACCUUUGAGUUCUUGAUCUCGCAAUCCUCUCUAUCUACAAAUCAACCACUUGGGUAACCCCUUGGUGGACCGCUGCGGCUACUAAAUCUGACAGUUGGCGCGCCAGGUAGGAGUGAUUGUGAGAGCCUCCCCAGCGAGCUCGAUGGCAUCUCACCCCAGUGUCAUCUUCCCCGAGAGCAUGAAAGACUUCCUCACCAAUCCGAUCCAGCUCCGCUUCGGGAACAUGCCGGUGGACUCUAACUCCACUAUCUCCUUCGAUGUCUCAGCGUCCGCCGCCAGCUUAGCAUCUAUCGGAUCUACUUCAUCGGAACAAGAUCUUCACCCGAGGAUCAUCACGCCACUUGCCCAGUAGGUCGGCAAUCACUCUCUCCCAAAGAGUGUCCCACACAUCCUUGCUGCAAUCCCCUCCCCACCCACGCCCUCCGACCUGAUCGUUGGGCUAGAUCGCAUCAUCAACACCAUUGUUGAGUGCAUUGAUCUCUUCAAGGCGGCGCUACGCCCAACAAGAUCAGCACAUGGUCCUCCCUCGCCCCCUUCGGUCUAAAGAACUCGGCUGCUGUCUUUUCCAUGAAACUUGUGCAGUCUCUUCAAUUCCAAUCUGAAGACCCACUCGAACUUGCCCAGUUUCCGUACUGUGGCAACUUCUAGAUCCCCC